GAUGAAGAACGUAGCGAAAUGCGAUACUUGGUGUGAAUUGCAGAAUUCAGUGAAUCAUCGAAUCUUUGAACGCACAUUGCGCCCGCCAGUAUUCUGGCGGGCAUGCCUGUUCGAGCGUCAUUUCAACCAUCAAGCCCCAGGCUUGUGUUGGGGACCUGCGGCUGCCGCAGGCCCCGAAAAGCAGUGGCGGGCUCGCUGUCACACCGAGCGUAGUAAAUCACCUCGCUUAGGGCGUGCUGCGGGCGCCGGCCGUAAAAAGCCAACGUACCCCAAGGUUGACCUCGGAUCAGGUAGGAAUACCCGCUGAACUUAAGCAUAUCAAUAAGCGGAGGA
rnacentral:misc_RNA from 1 species